GCCCGCUCAGAAACUUAAAGGAAGUUGACGGGGGCCCGCACAAGCGGUGGAGUAUGUGGUUUAAUUCGAUGCAACGCGAAGAACCUUACCUGGUCUUGACAUCCCGGAGACCCUUAGGAAACUAGGGGGUGCUUCCAUCUGGAAGAAUCUGGAGACAGGUGCUGCAUGGCUGUCGUCAGCUCGUGUCGUGAGAUGUUGGGUUAAGUCCCGCAACGAGCGCAACCCUUGCCUUUAGUUGCCAGCAGUUCGGCUGGGCACUCUAAAGGGACUGCCGGUGUUAAACCGGAGGAAGGUGGGGAUGACGUCAAGUCCUCAUGGCCUUUAUGACCAGGGCUACACACGUACUACAAUGGCCGAUACAAAGGGCAGCGACACUGCGAGGUGAAGCCAAUCCCGUAAAAUCGGUCUCAGUCCGGAUUGGAGUCUGCAACUCGACUCCAUGAAGUUGGAAUCGCUAGUAAUCGUGGAUCAGCAUGCCACGGUGAAUACGUUCCCGGGCCUU
rnacentral:rRNA from 1 species